UACGUAGGCAGCGAGCGUUGUUCGGAGUUACUGGGCGUAAAGGGUGUGUAGGCGGUUGGUUAAGUUUGGUGUGAAAUCUCCCGGCUCAACUGGGAGGGUGCGCCGAAUACUGAAUGACUUCGAGUACGGGAGAGGUGAGUGGAAUUCCUGGUGUAGCGGUGAAAUGCGUAGAUAUCAGGAGGAACACCGGUGGUGUAGACGGCUCACUGGACCGUAACUGACGCUGAGACACGAAAGCGUGGGUAGCAAACAGG
rnacentral:rRNA from 1 species